rnacentral:rRNA from 1 species
AGAGUUGAUCAUGGCUCAGGAUGAACGCUAGCGACAGGCUUAACACAUGCAAGUCGAGGGGCAUCAUGAGGUAGCAAUACCUUGAUGGCGACCGGCGCACGGGUGAGUAACGCGUAUGCAACCUGCCCGAUACCGGGGUAUAGCCCAUGGAAACGUGGAUUAACACCCCAUAGUACUUUUAUCCUGCCUGGGAUGGGAGUUAAAUGUUCAAGGUAUCGGAUGGGCAUGCGUCCUAUUAGUUAGUUGGCGGGGUAACAGCCCACCAAGACGAUGAUAGGUAGGGGUUCUGAGAGGAAGGUCCCCCACAUUGGAACUGAGACACGGUCCAAACUCCUACGGGAGGCAGCA